UUAUACAGAGGGUCGAUAAACUGGCUAACUCAUUUACCAAAAUAACUCAGAGCUUGGCUGUUUUUCUGUGGUUAAGGAUUGCUCAGGUGGAAUUCCUGCAGACUCUGACUGGUCAAACAGUUUUGUCUCUAUGAGAUAGCAUAGUUUUAUCACUCUAAAUGGAAAUACCUUGGUGUGGAAAAAAUAAGUUUUUUGGGUUUUUUUGCCACAGAUAGAAGCAUAGUUUACUCUGUUCUUAAACCUAAAAACAUCUAACAGACAGGUUAAACUUCUAACUCCAGAGGCUGAGGCAGAGACAGGAUGAUGGAGACUCGUGCCAACUGUGUGUCUCUGAUCAAGUGAGGGUUAGGGGGCCACACGUAGGAAUUCAAGGCACCACCACCUCGUGACGAAGCAAGAAAAACCACCGCCAUGUUUGCAAGUGCUCUAGUUGCCCUGACAGUGACAGAGACAAUCGAACAUAGAGGAUGGGAAAAGUCUUCGAUGGAUGACAACAAAAACAUUUUAAGUGAACAGGAAUUCUUCUCUGUAGAAAUUUCAUGCACACAUUUCUCCUCUUCUUCUUCUUCUUCUUUUUCUUGGGUUAUGGUGCUUUGAGGUAAUAACAUAUCCAUUUCAUUUCCAGAAGGAUGAAGUGUCAUCCACCGACAGGGCAAGGACUCAAUCGAUUCCAGCAAGCACCCAUAUAAACUGAGGGGAUAAAAGACACCUCUCCAUCCCCUUCAUAUCACAAAAUGAUGAAAAUCAUAAAAGCAGCAAAGAAUGGCAUUUCCGUCAUUUCUAAUACAAAUGGCAGGUGAGCGUGUAGGGCAGAGUCUGCAGUGUGGCGUACGCAUAGCCAGUGAGGGCCGCCAUUACAGUGACCAAGACCACACUUUUGGACAGGCAGAUGACCAAAGCAGAGAAUGUGAAGCUCACCAUACUGCUC